rnacentral:rRNA from 1 species
AGCCAGACUCCUACGGGAGGCAGCAGUGGGGAAUAUUGCACAAUGGGGGAAACCCUGAUGCAGCGACGCCGCGUGAGUGAAGAAGUAUUUCGGUAUGUAAAGCUCUAUCAGCAGGGAAGAAGUUGACGGUACCUGAGUAAGAAGCCCCGGCUAACUACGUGCCAGCAGCCGCGGUAAUACGUAGGGGGCAAGCGUUAUCCGGAUUUACUGGGUGUAAAGGGAGCGUAGACGGCAGUGCAAGUCUGAAGUGAAAGCCCCGGGCUUAACCCGGGAAUUGCUUUGGAAACUGUACGGCUGGAGUGCUGGAGGGGUAAGCGGAAUUCCUAGUGUAGCGGUGAAAUGCGUAGAUAUUAGGAGGAACACCAGUGGCGAAGGCGGCUUACUGGACAGUAACUGACGUUGAGGCUCGAAAGCGUGGGGAGCAAACAGGAUUAGAUACCCUGGUAC